rnacentral:lncRNA from 1 species
UCAUGUGUUGUUUCCGUAUAUGUUAUGUUUCAUUGCUCAUGUAUUGUUUUCGUAUAUUUUAGCCGCUCGUCUUGAGCCUAUCCAUUUGAUCUGAUAACACCCCAUAUAGCAAUAAGAUUAUUGCCAUUCAUAACUCUUAACAGACCAAUUAACAGACCGGGUUUUAUACAUCCGACCCAUUAACAGACCAGGUUUUAAAUAAAGAUUGAUUUAUGUCACCAAAAUACAGAUUUUCGU